rnacentral:rRNA from 1 species
UACGGAGGGUGCAAGCGUUGUCCGGAAUCACUGGGCGUAAAGGGCGCGUAGGCGGCUCAUGAAGGCUGUGGUGAAAGUCCGGGGCUCAACCUCGGAUCGGCCGUGGCGACUCGUGGGCUGGAGCACUGUAGAGGCGGGUGGAAUUCCGGGUGUAGCGGUGAAAUGCGCAGAUAUCAGGAGGAACACCGAUGGCGAAGGCAGCUCGCUGGGACGGUACUGACGCUGAGGCGCGAAAGCGUGGGGAGCAAACAGG